rnacentral:lncRNA from 10 species
UCUGACCAAAAUAGAAUUAAAUUGGAAGUCAAUAACAGAAUAGUAACUGGGAAAUCCUCUAGUAACUAAAGCUUAAAUACACUUUUUUUUUUUUCAGAGACGGAAUCUCGCUGUGUCACCCAGGCUGGAGUGCAGUGGUGCUAUCUUGACUCAACUCACUGCAACCUCUGAAUCCCGGAUUCAAGCGAUUCUCCUGCCUCAGCCUCCUGAGUAGCUGGGACUACAGAUCCACAGAGAUUGUGGGUGAAGACCAUCUCUGAAAUCUGGAGAAACAGGCAAAUACAGAAAAUUGCAGCUGAAACAAAAUCUCUUGAAGUCAUAAACUGCCAUGUGAAGACAGACACCUGCUCACGCUUUUCCUUCCACCAUGAUUGUAAGUUUCCUGAGACCACCCCAGAAGCAGAUGCUGCCUUGCUUCCUGUACAGUCUGCAGAACUGUGAGCCAAUUAUUUGGUGUUAUACAAUUACUUUCAAUGGCAAAAACCACACACAUGUGAUAAUUUUAAGAUAGUGUUCAGAGUUCUGAAUAAAAUGGAUGUUAACUCUUAAAGAGUACUUGAAAAAAGCUGCCACAGUUUAAAAUCGAGAUAAGGGUAUGAGGGAAUGCAUCUCUGAGAAGGGGACAUUGAAGCUGAAACUUUAAUGUUAAAAUGUCUUAUAAAUAUUGAGUAUACUGAUGGCUUCGUGGGAGAAUUAAUAAGUCAAACUCAUCAAAUUAUACACUUAAAUAUGUAUUAUUUAUUGUAUGUCAAUUAUAUCUCAGUAAUACUGUUUUAUAAAAAGGUUGAUCCAGAAAAUUCCUUAGGCAUUUUCAAAGAUGCUUCUGUAAGGGGAAAAUAAGCUGAUUGUUGUCACAUAGGAUGAUCUUGGGAAUGGCCAGGCAGGCAUGCUUCCUAAGCUGACAGAUACCAGCCAUGAUCUCUUGGUCUGUGUCCCCAUGGGCUGUUAGAGAAGCUCCAUCCGAUGGCAUUUGUCAAUUCAUCUCUCUGUGUGUCCAUCUCUGUUUCCCUGGGUCUUCCCUGAAUUUAAUUCAAGUACCACUAAAGGUGGGGUCUCACCUGGAGCUGUGGUAGUUCAUAGAUUGUUCUGUGACUGCAUUUAAGACAUG